rnacentral:rRNA from 1 species
GAUGAACGCUGGCGGCGUGCCUAAUACAUGCCAGUCGAGCGAACGGACGAGAAGCUUGCUUCUCUGAUGUUAGCGGCGGACGGGUGAGUAACACGUGGAUAACCUACCUAUAAGACUGGGAUAACUUCGGGGAACCGGAGCUAAUACCGGAUAAUAUUUUGAACCGCAUGGUUCAAAAGUGAAAGACGGUCUUGCUGUCACUUAUAGAUGGAUCCGCGCUGCAUUAGCUAGUUGGUAAGGUAACGGCUUACCAAGGCAACGAUGCAUAGCCGACCUGAGAGGGUGAUCGGCCACACUGGAACUGAGACACGGUCCAGACUCCUACGGGAGGCAGCAGUAGGGAAUCUUCCACAAUGGGCGAAAGCCUGACGGAGCAACGCCGCGUGAGUGAUGAAGGUCUUCGGAUCGUAAAACUCUGUUAUUAGGGAAGAACAUAUGUGUAAGUAACUGUGCACAUCUUGACGGUACCUAAUCAGAAAGCCACGGCUAACUACGUG